UUCUUAUCAAGAGAGGUGGAGGGACUUGGCCCUAGGAUACCUCAGCAACAGGCAUUUUUGCACUGUGCUAAUUCCAAAAGCUUUUAGGCUUGAAGAUAAGAA
rnacentral:ncRNA from 2 species